rnacentral:rRNA from 1 species
UGAGGAAUUUUGGACAAUGGGCGAAAGCCUGAUCCAGCAAUGCCGCGUGCAGGAUGAAGGCCCUCGGGUUGUAAACUGCUUUUGUACGGAACGAAAAGCCUGGGGCUAAUAUCCCCGGGUCAUGACGGUACCGUAAGAAUAAGCACCGGCUAACUACGUG